CCUACGGGAGGCUGCAGUGGGGAAUAUUGGACAAUGGGCGAAAGCCUGAUCCAGCCAUGCCGCGUGUGUGAAGAAGGCCUUCGGGUUGUAAAGCACUUUCAGUGGGGAAGAAAGCCUUGGGGCUAAUACCCUCGAGGAAGGACAUCACCCACAGAAGAAGCACCGGCUAACUCCGUGCCAGCAGCCGCGGUAAUACGGAGGGUGCGAGCGUUAAUCGGAAUUACUGGGCGUAAAGCGCGCGUAGGCGGUCUGAUAAGCCGGUUGUGAAAGCCCCGGGCUCAACCUGGGAACGGCAUCCGGAACUGUCAGGCUAGAGUGCAGGAGAGGAAGGUAGAAUUCCCGGUGUAGCGGGGAAAUGCGUAGAGAUCGGGAGGAAUACCAGUGGCGAAGGCGGCCUUCUGGACUGACACUGACGCUGAGGUGCGAAAGCGUGGGUAGCAAACAGGAUUAGAUACCCCAGUAGUC
rnacentral:rRNA from 1 species